rnacentral:tRNA from 1 species
GCCUUUGUGGUGUAAUGGUCAGCACGCUCGACGCGUAACCGAGAGGUCCGUGGUUCGAUUCCUGGCGAAGGCG